UGCUAAUACCGGAUAACAAUAGAUGAUGCCUAUCAACUGUUUAAAAGAAUGGUUCUGCUAUCACUCUUGGAUGGACCUGCGGUGCAUUAGCUAGUUGGUAGGGUAACGACCUACCAAGGCGAUGAUGCAUAGCCGAGUUGAGAGACUGAUCGGCCACAUUGGGACUGAGACACGGCCCAAACUCCUACGGGAGGCACAGCC
rnacentral:rRNA from 1 species